UAUACAAAGACCAAAAAAGGUUGUAAGUUGCUAUUCUGUAAUUUAAGUUAAUUUUAAUAGCAUCCAUUGCAUAUUGUUUACAUUCAUUGUUUUCCCUCAUUUUGAUUGUUAAAUGUGACCAGAUACAAU